rnacentral:rRNA from 1 species
UGGGUGACGAAGUGGUUGAUGCCAUGCUUCCAAGAAAAGCUUCUAAGCUUCAGGUAACCAGGAACCGUACCCCAAACCGACACAGGUGGUUGGGUAGAGAAUACCAAGGCGCUUGAGAGAACUCGGGUGAAGGAACUAGGCAAAAUGGCACCGUAACUUCGGGAGAAGGUGCGCCGGUGAGGGUGAAGCACUUGCUGCGUAAGCCCACGCCGGUCGAAGAUACCAGGCCGCUGCGACUGUUUAUUAAAAACACAGCACUCUGCAAACACGAAAGUGGACGUAUAGGGUGUGACGCCUGCCCGGUGCCGGAAGGUUAAUUGAUGGGGUUAGCUAACGCGAAGCUCUUGAUCGAAGCCCCGGUAAACGGCGGCCGUAACUAUAACGGUCCUAAGGUAGCGAAAUUCCUUGUCGGGUAAGUUCCGACCUGCACGAAUGGCGUAACGAUGGCGGCGCUGUCUCCACCCGAGACUCAGUGAAAUUGAAAUCGCUGUGAAGAUGCAGUGUAUCCGCGGCUAGACGGAAAGACCCCGUGAACCUUUACUAUAGCUUUGCACUGGACUUUGAAUUUGCUUGUGUAGGAUAGGUGGGAGGCUUUGAAGCGUGGACGCCAGUUCGCGUGGAGCCAUCCUUGAAAUACCACCCUGGCAACUUUGAGGUUCUAACUCAGGUCCGUCAUCCGGAUCGAGGACAGUGUAUGGUGGGUAGUUUGACUGGGGCGGUCUCCUCCUAAAGAGUAACGGAGGAGUACGAAGGUGCGCUCAGACCGGUCGGAAAUCGGUCGUAGAGUAUAAAGGCAAAAGCGCGCUUGACUGCGAGACAGACACGUCGAGCAGGUACGAAAGUAGGUCUUAGUGAUCCGGUGGUUCUGUAUGGAAGGGCCAUCGCUCAACGGAUAAAAGGUACUCCGGGGAUAACAGGCUGAUACCGCCCAAGAGUUCAUAUCGACGGCGGUGUUUGGCACCUCGAUGUCGGCUCAUCACAUCCUGGGGCUGAAGCCGGUCCCAAGGGUAUGGCUGUUCGCCAUUUAAAGUGGUACGCGAGCUGGGUUUAGAACGUCGUGAGACAGUUCGGUCCCUAUCUGCCGUGGACGUUUGAGAUUUGAGAGGGGCUGCUCCUAGUACGAGAGGACCGGAGUGGACGAACCUCUGGUGUUCCGGUUGUCACGCCAGUGGCAUUGCCGGGUAGCUAUGUUCGGGAAAGAUAACCGCUGAAAGCAUCUAAGCGGGAAACUUGCCUCAAGAUGAGAUCUCACUGGGACCUUGAGUCCCCUGAAGGGCCGUCGAAGACUACGACGUUGAUAGGCAGGGUGUGUAAGCGCUGUGAGGCGUUGAGCUAACCUGUACUAAUUGCCCGUGAGGCUUGACCAU